rnacentral:rRNA from 1 species
UGGGGAAUAUUGGACAAUGGACCAAAAGUCUGAUCCAGCAAUUCUGUGUGCACGAUGACGUUUUUCGGAAUGUAAAGUGCUUUCAGUUGGGAAGAAAAAAAUGACGGUACCAACAGAAGAAGUGACGGCUAAAUACGUGCCAGCAGCCGCGGUAAUACGUAUGUCACAAGCGUUAUCCGGAUUUAUUGGGCGUAAAGCGCGUCUAGGUGGUUAUGUAAGUCUGAUGUGAAAAUGCAGGGCUCAACUCUGUAUUGCGUUGGAAACUGUAUGACUAGAGUACUGGAGAGGUAAGCGGAACUACAAGUGUAGAGGUGAAAUUCGUAGAUAUUUGUAGGAAUGCCGAUGGGGAAGCCAGCUUACUGGACAGAUACUGACGCUAAAGCGCGAAAGCGUGGGUAGCAAACAGGAUUAGAUACCCUGGUAGUCCACGCCGUAAACGAUGAUUACUAGGUGUUGGGGGUCGAACCUCAGCGCCCAAGCUAACGCGAUAAGUGAUCCGCCUGGGGAGUACGUACGCAAGUAUG